CCGGGAAACCGGGGCUAAUACCGGAUAACUCUUUUCCUCACAUGAGGAAAAGCUGAAAGAUGGUUUCGGCUAUCACUUACAGAUGGGCCCGCGGCGCAUUAGCUAGUUGGUGAGGUAACGGCUCACCAAGGCCACGAUGCGUAGCCGACCUGAGAGGGUGAUCGGCCACACUGGGACUGAGACACGGCCCAGACUCCUACGGGAGGCAGCAGUAGGGAAUCUUCCGCAAUGGACGAAAGUCUGACGGAGCAACGCCGCGUGAGUGAUGAAGGUUUUCGGAUCGUAAAACUCUGUUGUCAGGGAAGAACAAGUACCGGAGUAACUGCCGGUACCUUGACGGUACCUGACCAGAAAGCCACGGCUAACUACGUGCCAGCAGCCACGGUAAUACGA
rnacentral:rRNA from 2 species